UCCAGACUCCUACGGGAGGCAGCAGUGGGGAAUAUUGCACAAUGGGGGAAACCCUGAUGCAGCGACGCCGCGUGAGUGAAGAAGUAUUUCGGUAUGUAAAGCUCUAUCAGCAGGGAAGAAAAUGACGGUACCUGACUAAGAAGCCCCGGCUAACUACGUGCCAGCAGCCGCGGUAAUACGUAGGGGGCAAGCGUUAUCCGGAUUUACUGGGUGUAAAGGGAGCGUAGACGGCAGCGCAAGUCUGGAGUGAAAUGCCGGGGCCCAACCCCGGAACUGCUCUGGAAACUGUGAAGCUGGAGUGCAGGAGAGGUAAGCGGAAUUCCUGGUGUAGCGGUGAAAUGCGUAGAUAUCAGAAGGAACACCGGCGGCGAAGGCGGCUUACUGGACUGUAACUGACGUUGAGGCUCGAAGGCGUGGGGAGCAAACAGGAUUAGAUACCCUAGUAAUG
rnacentral:rRNA from 1 species